CCUACGAGAGGCAGCAGUAGGGAAUCUUCGGCAAUGGACGGAAGUCUGACCGAGCAACGCCGCGUGAGUGAAGAAGGUUUUCGGAUCGUACAGCUCUGUUGUAAGAGAAGAACGAGUGUGAGAGUGGAAAGUUCACACUGUGACGGUAUCUUACCAUAAAGGGACGGCUAACUACGGGCCAGCAGCCGCGGUAAUACGUAGGGCCCGAGCGUUGUCCGGAUUUAUUGGGCGUAAAGCGAGCGCAGGCGGUUAGAUAAGUCUGAAGUUAAAGGCUGUGGCUUAACCAUAGUACGCUUUGGAAACUGUUUAACUUGAGUGCAAGAGGGGAGAGUGGAAUUCCAUGUGUAGCGGUGAAAUGCGUAGAUAUAUGGAGGAACACCGGUGGCGAAAGCGGCUCUCUGGCUUGUAACUGACGCUGAGGCUCGAAAGCGUGGGGAGCAAACAGGAUUAGAUACCCCGGUAGUC
rnacentral:rRNA from 1 species